UUUGUAAUUAAUUGAUCAGUUAAUUUUGAUGGAAUAAUUAUGUUAAAAUAUUUUUUAAUAUUCGUAAUAUUGAACUAAUAUUCGUAAAGUUGUAAAAGAUAGACAUAAAAGACCUUCGUAAAUUAGAGUAAAUUAUACUUUUGUAAAGUUUGCCCAAUUUACGAAGUUUACCAAAAAGUUGCGAAGCUGAACGAUAAACUUUUUAGUAAGAAUGGGAUUUUUGUAAACCUCGUAUAUGUCAUACAUAAAUUUACGCUAUUUACAAAGUUGCGAAGGUGACGUGAAAGAAAACCCUCUUCGUUAAAUUUAAGCUAUUUACGAUGUUUACCAAAAAUGUGUCGUGAAAACUAGAGGUGAGCUGGAUAUCCAUUUUUUUGGAUAAUGCAUGGCCCGAUCCGAUCCAACUGGAUUUGGAUGGAUUGGAUCUGAAAUUUUUUGGGUGAAAUGGAUUUGGAUGGAUUGGAUCUGAAAUUUUUUGGGCCAAUUGGAUUUGGAUGGAUUGGAUCUGAAAAUUUUUGGGCCAAUUGGAUUUGGAUGGAUUGGAUCAGGGUGGAUUGGAUAUGGUCGGUUUGGAUAAAAUUUCCUCAACACACAGCUUAUGCCGGAGUACAUUUUUCAUGAAUCCAAUGCUGCCCCGAAAACUAACCGGCCCAUUUCUUUAUUGGCAUAGCAUGCCACACAAGAGCCACAUAUCCAGUCCCAAUAAAAUUUACUCUAACAUAACACGGUUUAACUUGAAGACUGAGUCUUAUUUUAAAUUAAUAGAGGUUAUUAAUCUGAAUGUAUGAGAAGUUAAGGUGAGUAAUUACACUACUCAUUAAUUUUUUAUUGAAUAGUCAGAAAUAAUUAACCACUUUUCAAAUACAGGAAAUGACUUCUUUUGGUGGAUCACCAGCUCUCGACGUCGAGACGGUCCACGUGGAGGCAGAAGCAAUUUCUCAAGAGACGAUUCAAAUUCAAGGCGAAACCAGUCAGAAUUCCAUUAUAAACUUUUCCAGAGACGUCAUCCUUGGGUUAUGGGCACAACAUAGCACUCGGUUAUCAUUUGUGGACAAGUCUGUCAGCAGAUUGAAAUCAUUAGACUACUGGAAAAAUUUUCAAGUAGUUCAAAUGGAUCAAGUCGCAGUUGACUACGUUAAGUGCAAAUUGUGCAAUGCAAUUUAUACCUGGAAUAAGAAAUCGGGAACCAGUAAUCUUAAAAAUCAUUCAUGUCUUCACAGCGACGUCGCUGGAACCAAGAAGAACAGCACUCAAGAUCCAAACCAGAAAAAAAUUACAUCAUUUUCGAAGAAAUCUUUGCCCAUCAAAUGCAUUGACGAAUUAAAUGAAUGCAUCGUAGUUGGACUUGCUCAAGAUUUGAAGCCACUACGAAUGGUGGAAGCGAGAGGAUUUAGGAGAAUCACACAAGCUUUGGUCAAUUUUGGAGCCACUCAUGGACGUCAAGAUAUAUCUAAUAUUCUUCAGCAUCGUACGACCUUAAAACGAAAACAUUUACCAAAAAUUGUGGCUGAAAAAGAGGACUCAGUGAGAUGUGCUUUGAAGACGACGUCGUCUUAUCCCAAGUUCUCCUUCACAUUGGACAUGUGGUCCGACAAGCAUCAACAAAGGCAAUUUCUUUCACUCUCAAUUCACUUUAUCGACAAUGAAUGGAAUUUGAGGAGUCACAUGAUGGCAGUCGAAGAGUUCAAAGAAUCUUUUAAAUCCACCCAGAAUAUUCGCUCCCACGUUCAUAGAAUCCUAUCAAAAUACUUUGGUCACGAACAAGGUGAAGAGAUUAUGUCAGCGUCAUUCGCAGUGACGGAUGGGGGAAGCAAUAUGAUCAACAUAUUUGAUCAUAGGUUGCCUUGUAUGUGUCACCGCCUUAAUUUAAUAGUUCAGUGGACACUUAAUCAAAAACAAAUUCCAUCUGUCGAAAAAAUACAGGAACGAAUCGAGAAGGGAAAUCCAAUUAGUGAAAAGAAACUAUUCAAUUUACAAACUCACUGCCCCAAAACCAAGGACGUCCUUGGCGAUUUGAAAAAACUCGUAGAAUAUUUUAAAAAGGCAGGACUCAACAUCAAUCCUCCCAUUAGUUUGAAGCAGGAUGUUGAUACUCGUUGGAACAGCCAGCUCAUGAUGUUAGAGUCAUACGCCCGCUCGUCUGAGGAAGUGAAGAAGAUUCUCUUAGAAAAGAAAAAGCUGGACAAGGUCAACAAUAUUCAUGACGACGUCGUCAGCUAAUUAAUUAAAUUUCUGAAGCCACUAAGCGAGUGUUCAGAUGUAUUUAGUGGCGACAAAAACCCGACGUUCCAAUGUAUUGUCCUUUGGUUCCAUAAGAUACAAGAACAUCUUAAAAUAACAGACAAGGAUUCUAAAGAGAUAAAAAGUUUGAAAGCUCAAUCUCAGAAUUGCUUAGCAGAAUACUGGACCCCAAAACCAAUUUACUAUGCCGCAUGCAUGUUAGAUCCUAGAUAUAGAAAACUCAAGUUUGCCGACGAGGAUGCGAAACAACAAGCACGUGACUGUCUUAGGAACUAUAUGGCAGUUGAACGUUCAACUUGUUCUUCCCCUGACCUUCAUCAGUCGACGUCGACUGAGGCCCUGUCCAUACAACCCUCCGCCCCAAAACGUGGACGAUUUUCGGAGCUGGAGGACUCAGAUGAAGAAGUUGAGGAACUUGACGAAUUGGAUAGCUAUUUGAUCUAUGUUUUCAAAAAUCCUCUGCCGUUAAAUGCGGACGGAACAUUCGAUAUUUUACAAUUUUGGCGCGAAACCACUGAAUUUCCAAUGUUACGAAAAGUGGCGAAAUGGCUUCUGGCAAUUCCAGCAUCGCAAGCCAGUGAUGAGCGGGUGUUUUCGAGCACUGGGUCGACGUUAUCUGUGAGGCGAACCGAACUGAGUGGAACAACUCUUUCCCAAUUGACAUUUAUUCAUAAGAAUUGUUAAAUUGUUAAACAAGUAGAUCUAUUAGAAAUAAUUAAUAAUGGUGACAAUAUAAGAAUUAUUUGCUUAAAUGUGUAAAACCAAGGCUAAAUAAAAAUUGGUUGAAAGUUUUAUACAAUUGCAAAUCUUCAUUGGACGUCCAAUGCUUAAAGAAAAAUUUUUACAGCGUCGUCUAAAGAUCCUCGGCAUUGUGGACAAUUAUUCAGAACACGAAUUGGGAAUCCAGGGUGAACUUGUCCAGUGUCCUCAUCGGUCCAUGGAAUUCCUUCGGCGAAACGCUCUUGUCGAAGUCCAUUCAUACAAGCUCCGCAAAAGCAGUGCCCACAUCUUAGUGCCCAAGCUUUAGGCUCAUUCUCACACAAUGAACACGCAAUCUGUUGAAUUAAUUACCAAAUUUUAAUUAUGCGCUACUAACUGACUUAGAAAAAUAUAGCAAUAAUAAUACUAUUUAUUUAUCUUUCUCCAGUUUUCAUCAGCCCCGUUUAUCUUUUUCAUGGAAUUUUUCCAUUUUUCAUCCAGUAUAUUCGAUUCCGUCUUAAUAACUUGCAGAUCUUCUUCGAUGUAAAGGUAUUCAAAUUUUUGUAUCCAAUCAAAUAGUUCAGUUUUCUUAUUAUUCAUCAGCUUUUUCUCAGCCUCAAACACCAAUGGACGUCCAUUGCUUUGAGGAAUACAUUGAUCUAUCCACGAUGAAAUGCAGCCAAUAGAAUCUAUUAUCUUUGAUAGCAUAGUCUGUGCAAUUUUCAGGUUGUUGAUAGAAACGUAGCUGUCAUUGUUCAAUUUUUUACUCAAUUCAUUGAUAUCUUCCCACCGGUGAAAGGAAAUAAUAACUUCGUCAUCGUCAGGCCAAAUUACUCUGGACUAAAAUUCAAAGUUAACUUGAAUUCAAACUUUAUUAGGCACACAUUCAUAUUAUAAUUGUGUUACCUUUUUAAUAAUCCAUCCGAUUUGUCGACACUUUUUAGAUAUAAUAGCUAAGUCAUCCCUCAUCUGCUUCAAGUUUAGGUGACAAAUUCGCGCACUAUCGACGUCGGUAGUUAAACUAAUAUUUUUAAUGCGUUUUAAGCUAUCGUGUAUAUUUUCCAAGCAAUCCAUUAAUCUUGAGGUUUCUUCUUGUACAAGAGAUAACUAUAUUAUUGGAAUUGUAAGUGGUUUCAUUAGGUCGGCAAUUAAUAUUGAUACUUAUCCUUAGUUAGAAAAUACCUUUGGGAGUGGAGCUGUUCGAGCUGCGUUUAUAGCAGCCAUUUUUAUAUUCUGUGGUGUCGAAUUUCGAUUACUGGCACCACUAGCCCACCUACUCUUCUGUAUUUCUUUCUUUGCUUUAUUUUUACUGUCGACGUCGACAUGGGCGUUGCACUUUCUAGCGUGGUGGGUCGGAUCCCCGCAAACCCAGCACGAAUCAUCCAUGCUAUAAAACUAUGAAGAAAGAAACUUAUUAAAAUCAAUCGGUUCAACUGAUAAAGCUAAUUAUGCAAAAGAACCUCACCGUAUCACUCAAUAAUUUCCUCUACGAUUUUUAAUAGUUCUAUUUUUAAUUAAGUGCACUUAAAUUGUCAGUGUCACACACACACUACUUAAUAAGUAAAAAAACAGCUGCCUGCGACUACUGUAAGAUUGCGCACAAUAGGGGUGAUUUGAGAUACAUAAGUUAAUGUAUUUCACCUGCGUAUUUCUUAAUGAGUUUAAGUUGAUCGGAUCAGAAAUUUUUAUGAAUGAAUGAGUCGCAUUUGGAUGGAUUGGAUCUGAAUUUUUUUGGGCCAAUUGGAUUUGGAUGGAUUGGAUCUGAAAUUUUUUGGGCCAAUUGGAUUUGGAUGGAUUGGAUCUGAAAUUUUUUGGGCUAGUUGGAUUUGGGUGGAUCGGAUCGAAAAAAAUUUGGGCCAACUGGAUUUGGAUGGAUUGGAUCUCAAAUUUUUUGGGCCAAUAGGAUUUGGAUGGAUUGGAUCUGAAAAUUUUGGGGCGAAACGGAUUUGGAUGGAUUGGAUCUUAAUUUUUCUGGUUGAAUCGGAUUUGGAUGGAUCGGAUCUCAAAAAAUCACGAUCCAGCUCACCUCUAGUGAAAACCCUUAAUGAAAAUUUUUAAUUUUAAUUUUCAUGAAAAUGUGUCAAUUUUUUGUCCCAGGUUUUUGGACUUUACCUGCUCUCGACGUGUUUUUGGAUUUUGAUCGCAUUUUCUGAACAUGACGCCGCGUCGUCCUCCGAGGAAACGAACCCCACAGCGGCGAAUUUCCGGUUGCUCGCAAUUUUAGUGAAUCAAAAACAAGGCGGGGAUCCCACUGAAAGGGGAGGAUUACUCGAAAACGAUGAAAUUUCCGGAAAUUUUAGCAACUCUGAGACGGACAAAGAGUUGGAAAUGUUGCAGAAAAAGUUUGUCCAUGCGUGGAACUCGGUUUCGCCCUAUUUUCAAGGCGCCUGCGGUCUCGCGGUGGUUUCCGGUUUGGUCCAAGUCGUAGCGUGCAUGGCGAUUCUAAGUUCGUCGACGAAGGGUGCAGGUAAACCGUUUCGUCUCCGAUUGUGGAAAGUGUUGCAUUUCUGCUUGAUAAUUACGUUCCUGAUUUGCAUCGCGAUUCCCGUGUCGAUUGACAAGUCGCUUAAAGACGGCGGCAUCGCGGACCAUUUGGACGCCCUCGCGGCGCAGUUGAAGCGCCACAAUGCGCCCAGUUUGGAUACGGAAGAUGUCGACAAUAUAAAAUUGCUGUACAUCGCGCUGGCCGGAGAUGCCGUCGGGUGCACAUUUUUAGUCGUGAUUGGGCACUUUGUUCUUUCGUAUGUGGGAAGAGCGACCAGAUAAGAACGUUGCCAGAGAUCGGAUAUGUAUUUAUUUCUAGGUUUUUACUCAGAAAUAUAAAUAUUUAUUCGUAUUUCUGCCAUUAUUUCUAAAAAAAAGGGUUUAAAAUUGUAUGAUUAAAAAGUCAGAAAUAAAAUUUGUGCUAACUAAAAACCUAAUUACUAAAUUCCAGAUCAAUAAUUCACAAGAAUUUUGAAUAUCUCGCAAAUUUUAAAUUUUAUAGUUUUUCAAUAUGCAACAUAGCCGCCUGUAAAUUUGAUUAGGCAGAUUAAAAAAAAAUAAUGAAUUACUUAUUUAUUUGCUUGUAACAUUUACGAAAAAAUUACCAAGUUUGACAGAAAUAUUUCAAUUCCUGUGACGAUUGACAAGUCGCUGACGGACGGUGGCAUCGCGGACCAUUUGGACGCCCUCGCGGCGCAGUUGAAGCGCAAAAACGCGCCCAGUUUGGACACGGAGGAUGUCGACAAUAUAAAAUUGCUGAACAUCGCGCUGGCCGGAGAUGCCGUCGGGUGCACAUUUUUAGUCGUGAUUGGUCACUUUGUUCUUUCGUAUGUGGGAAAAAUCCGCAGAUAAGAACGCUGCCAGAGAUCGGAUAUUUAUUUAUUUCUAGAUUUUCCCGGAAAAGACAUAUUAAGUAUGAAUAAAAAGUCAAAAAUAAAAUUUUAAGUAAUAACAAGAAUUACUAAUCUCGAAUUGGAUUUCGUAACAUUUUUAGAAUUUAAAUUCUACAAGCUAAAAAUCUGGAUGGAGUUGCAGAAUUAAAAUUUUUGAAAAUUUUGCGGAAUUCAAAUCUUAUUUAUGAAAUUCAAACAUACCAAACGAAACAAAUCAAGAUAUCACACACAUCAAAGGCGUAUCUUGAAUUUAAUGAUCGCUUUAAUUGUGUUAAAGAAAUCUGAUUUCCGGGUUUUUAACAAAGUUACCCAUAUUUUUUUAAUCUACAAUUUCUGUCAAUUUUAAGGAAUUCAAAUUCUCCAAAUUUGAUACAUAUUUGUACCAAAUUUUGUAGAAAUUAAUCAAUUAGUUCUAGAGUUAUCGAAAGACAGACGGAAAUGACAAUUACAUAAGUCCUGGUGAGGGCUAGAAAUGGGUGUGUUGUACGAUCAAAACGUCAGAAAUAAAGUUUCGUUAAAAGAACUAAUUAAAAUUUUUAAUUCAAGAUACU